rnacentral:lncRNA from 1 species
UCAAAACCCUUUUCUCUCAAAAUUUUUCAACCUCUUUUCCCCUUCAGUCGACUAAACCAAAAGGUUCUUCACUCUUUGCCUCCACGUUAUCAAAUCGGACCCCCCCUAAAUCCCAUCAGAGCUUCGAUUUCAAAGAAGUCAACAAGGAUUCGAAGGCUCCUCAAGAAGAUAAGUAUUUUUGCUUCUGUUUAUUUUUUUUACACACACAAAUAACAAAAAGCAAAGAACUCGAAGCAAGAUCUACAAAAAAAUGAGAUUUAAAAUCACCUCUUGAACUGUUCUCUUUUUUUAUUCAAACUUCUCUGUACAGAUUUGUAUCCCCCUUACAUUGUUUACAAAUGGCCUUUUAUAGCCGAAAACCCCCAAAAAAAAUGAAAAGAAAUUGAGACUCUCAUCAUCCCUCUUUUCUAUUAUCUCUUUGCUGUUAAUUAUCCUUGCUGUUAUUUGCUGUAGUUGUUAGUUCGUUUUGCAGGUGUGUAUGGCAUGGAGUGAAGCUGUUUGUGGGCGUGCUGGCGUGGAAGAGGCAGUUGGAGGCUGCAGCAACUAAAGCUCUUAGGGUUUGCUAAGUAGUUUUUUUGGGGGGGCUGGGAUUUGGGUUAUUCGUUGGAUCCGGUUUAUUCUUGGUUUUAGGCCUCAAGUUUGG